CCAAAUCGAGAGAGUGAGAAAAACCGCUUUCCCGAGAAUGUCCCCUGGCAGUUGAUUCCAAAAGCAAAGAAACAGACGAGAUCGACGCGCACGGAGAAAUCGCGAGCGCCGAUUCGAAAAGGGCUUCUGGGUAAUGUUCAAUGGCGCCAACCUAACCAAACGCGAGUCUUCCUUCCUUCCUUUCCUUAUCACCAACGUGGAUAUAUACCAGUACUAACGUAACUUAAGGCGCAGUCGGUAAGUGCCUCUCGACUGUAUAUGCAUGUAUAUUACCGUAGGCUUUAGACAAGAUUAACAUGUAUGGACUCAGCAAUGAGACGUCUAGGCAGCCACCGAGUCGCAUUAAUCAAAGUACGGCACGUGUCCCGCAAGGGGCGCACGCGCAUGCGCACGAGACGACACCAGGGUACUACGCCCCGCUCGAGAAUGUCAUUACGUGACAGAUGCUCUCGUCCCAGCCCUUAAUAUUGACAACUGUCAAGACACGCUGAAUUACCGGCCAAUCCGGCAGAAUCUUUUACCUACGGAAGUUAACGUACGCGCUCCACGUUUCUAUCUUCCUCAGUAAUUUGCGGCUCCGAUCUUUCGUUCCGCCGCAAAUUGGCUUAAUGUGUCCCUAUCUACGUAUUGCUGUACCGUAUGAUGAGUCAACCGUUUCUACAGUGCAUCUACAUACGUUCCUAUAUGUACAGAGGACACUGAAACUUUCUGUCUCCACUUUUUUCCACGUAACGUAUUACGCAUGCCUUAUGCGAGAAAAUUGUUAAAACAGUACAGUCGAGUGAGGAAGUUAUGCGGUAUAUGUGAGACGAGCGAGUGUCCUUCGUUUUAAAGCUCGAAGAAGUUUCUGGUGCAACAGUUUGCUCCUCUGGCCGAACACGAUGUUAAAUGUGUUUCGCGCGAGUCUGAAAUAGGUAUGGGAGUUUGCGUUACAAGGAAAUAUUAAAUUACGGCUCUGGUCAGACUAGAAACCACCCGGUGUAACCAGUCCACGGCGAUGCUUGAACCUCUUAACAGAAUUACGCGGGGUAAGUGACGUGGUGAAUUUUUCAAAACUUCCUAAGUACACCUCAGACCGGGAUCUUUUUUAUUGCGAGUCAUGAAGUCUGGUGCACUCAGCCGAGUGACUGCUCGAUGGGAUCGAAGUCGAAUGGAAUUCAGUGAGGCAGAGAGAACCUCCCGGUCUGAUGAUUAUUCCUGAGAGAGAGAGAGAGAGAUAUAUUCACCAGAGGACUUUUAUCGAUCCUGCAAAUGGAAACGCCCGACAAAACAAGUAUCUGCUGUUUCAGCCACCGAGUCUAUAUGAGAUCGAUGAGGACGUUUCGCCAAGUUUCUACGAAUCAUCGAGCACUAGAAUCCAGUAGAAGCAGCAGCGGCAGUUUAUGUUUCACUAGGGUGAAACUACACUGGGCUAGACGAGAAGGGCACAGACUGGGUCUCGCCGGCCCUGACCGUCCCGUCUGGCGCGAGCCUGUUCACGGCUCGUUUCACAUGGACGCAUUCGAAAAUAUCGUGCCACGGCAAAUCGUGUGGAAUAAGAUCAGGAGAAAUGUCCCCUCGUACACUGUAUUAUCGCACGGAUCCGCGAUACGCGCCAAUUGCACGGUAAAUUGCACGUAAGCUCCGAAAGAGAAAACUUAGUAACACUAUAUGAAUUCGCAUAGCUCA